UACGUAGGGUGCAAGCGUUUAAUCGGAAUUACUGGGCGUAAAGCGUGCGCAGGCGGUUAUGUAAGACAGUUGUGAAAUCCCCGGGCUCAACCUGGGAAUUGCGAUGGAGACUGCAAGGCUAGAAUCUGGCAGAGGGGGGUAGAAUUCCACGUGUAGCAGUGAAAUGCGUAGAGAUGUGGAGGAACACCGAUGGCGAAGGCAGCCCCCUGGGUCAAGAUUGACGCUCAUGCACGAAAGGCGUGGGGAGCAAACAGG
rnacentral:rRNA from 1 species